rnacentral:misc_RNA from 1 species
GCACUCUCACAACUAACCUUUGCUGGUUAAAUUGUGGAAUUGGGAUGCGCCAAUUGUUACUGAUUGGCCCUCCUAAAAUGUAGCUCUUGACUGUGGACUGCUACAGUAGUUUGGCCUAAUAGUUUUGGCACUUGUUUGUCAAAUCUUUGGCUACCUUUACUUUGGUCCAUGCAGUCUUGAUAUACAGAAAACUCUAAUACAA